rnacentral:rRNA from 1 species
UACGAAGGGUGCAAACGUUGCUCGGAAUUAUUGGGCGUAAAGCGCACGUAGGCGGCUUGGCAAGUCGGAUGUGAAAUCCCUCGGCUCAACCAAGGAAGUGCAUCCGAAACUGCUGAGCUUGAGUACGAAAGAGGAUCGCGGAAUUCCCGGUGUAGCGGUGAAAUGCGCAGAGAUCCGGAGGAACACCGACGGCGAAGGCAGCGCCCUGGCCGCCAUCUGACGCUCAGGCACGAAAGCUGGGGGAGCGAACAGG